rnacentral:tRNA from 1 species
GCGUGGGUAGGUCAACGGCUAGACUUUCUGCCUUCCAAGCAGACUAUCCGGGUUCGAAUCCCGGCCUGCGCA